rnacentral:rRNA from 1 species
UUGGUUAAGUUAGAAAGGGCGCACGGUGGAUGCCUUGGCACUAGGAGCCGAAGAAGGACGGGACUAACACCGAUAUGCUUUGGGGAGCUGUACGUAAGCGUUGAUCCAGAGAUUUCCGAAUGGGGGAACCCACUAUCUUUAGUCGGAUAGUAUCCUUACGUGAAUACAUAGCGUGAGGAAGGCAGACCCAGGGAACUGAAACAUCUAAGUACCUGGAGGAAGAGAAAGAAAAAUCGAUUUCCUGAGUAGCGGCGAGCGAAACGGAAAGAGCCCAAACCAAGAAGCUUGCUUCUUGGGGUUGUAGGACACUCUAUACGGAGUUACAAAAGAAAGUUAUAAAUGAAGCGGUCUGGAAAGGCCCGCCAAAGACGGUAACAGCCCGGUAGUUGAAAUGGCUUUCCCUCCAGAGUGGAUCCUGAGUACGGCGGAACACGUGAAAUUCCGUCGGAAUCCGGGAGGACCAUCUCCCAAGGCUAAAUACUCCCUAGUGACCGAUAGUGAACCAGUACCGUGAGGGAAAGGUGAAAAGCACCCCGGAAGGGGAGUGAAACAGUUCCUGAAACCGUGUGCCUACAAGUAGUUAGAGCCCGUUAAUGGGUGAUAGCGUGCCUUUUGUAGAAUGAACCGGCGAGUUACGAUUUGUUGCAAGGUUAAGCGGAAAAAGCGGAGCCGUAGCGAAAGCGAGUCUGAAUAGGGCGCAUAAGUAACAGGUCGUAGACCCGAAACCAGGUGAUCUACCCAUGUCCAGGAUGAAGGUAAGGUAAUACUUACUGGAGGUCCGAACCCACGCACGUUGAAAAGUGCGGGGAUGAGGUGUGGGUAGCGGAGAAAUUCCAAUCGAACUUGGAGAUAGCUGGUUCUC